rnacentral:rRNA from 1 species
AACGGGGGGGACUAACGUUAUUCAUCAUAACUGGGCGUAAAGGGUACGUAGGUUGUGUAUAAUUAUUUGGGAAUUAGUAAGUCUUAAUUAAAAAAUCUAAGCAUAACUUAGAAAUUAAUUAUUAUACUUAUACUCUUGAGGUUAAAAGAAGAAAGUUAUAUUUUUAAAGGAGGGGUAAAAUUCUAAAAUAUUAAAAAGAUAACCUUUUAGUGAAAACUACUUUCUAUUUUAAUGCUGACACUGAGGUACGAAGGCAUGGGAAUCAAACGGG